rnacentral:lncRNA from 1 species
GAAGGUCAAUUUCACCGAUCAGAAGUAAGAGACUGUGAAAAUCUGGCUGAUGCCAUGUUGAACGUCUUUAUUUCCUCAACUGGAAGUUUCCCAGACAACACUGUUUACAUCUAGCAUUUACACACACUGUGGAAAGGUUUCUUCUUCUGAGGCUGCAUGACAGUUCCAGAGAGCAGCACCUUUGAAGGUGGCAUGGAGAGCAUGGACAGCUGCACCGUUCUCCUCUGUCCUGCCACGCCUGGAGUUCGAGUCAGGGACCUCAGAGAUACAACUGAUCAAGUCACAAGCUGUAUGUCACUGCUGUCACUAUUCAAAGGACUCGGAAUCCCAGGGUCAGGUGACCCCACUCUCCAUGACCUCCAUCUCUGAGACGCUCAGCUGAUUGAACUUCAAGCCGGGAGUGACGGCAGAAGAACCAAGUCACGGUUGGGGCAAAAGUGGUCCGAUUAUUUUCCAUCAGGAAUCUGAACAGGUAUUAGGUAUUGCUCUUAGAAUCUGUGACUAGAGGAGCUACUUUCUGCCAUACUGUAGACUUA